rnacentral:pre_miRNA from 1 species
AAUGUAAUUGCUGGGUCAUAUGAUAAGUGUACAUUUAGUUUCAUAAGAAACUUAUUAACUAUUCCAAAGCAGCUGCACCCUUUCAAUUGCCACUAGCAAU